rnacentral:lncRNA from 1 species
AGGACCUGACAAUAGAGCCCAUUGAAGAGGAGCCUGGAGUUGGAGGUAUUGGCUCAAGUCCCUCCGACUGUCAUUCAGUUGCCAUGAGACUUUAGGUAAGUUACUAUCAAAUGAACCACAUCCCUUGCCAAAGUAGGGGCUAAGAUUUUUUUUGUUUUGGUUUGGUUUUUCGAGACAAGAGUAUCUCUGUGUAGCCUUAGCUGUGUUGGAACUCACUCUGUAAACCAGGCUGGCCUUGAACUUAGAACC